GAUGGGAUGGCUCAGUUGGUAGAGCACUUGACUUGCAAACACAGGGUCCUGAGUUUGAUUCCCCCAAUUCUACA
rnacentral:tRNA from 1 species